rnacentral:lncRNA from 1 species
UUCUGUUACUGGCCUGGCAUGGGAAAGGCAGAAAGAGUCAAGGAUCUGAAGGUGUGGAAAAAGGAAGACUUCUGUGGUCCAGAGUUCCAAGACCUUCUGAUGAAGCGUGUGUCAGAAUUCUAUCCAUCCCAUGGGGAACAUGUCGUGAUUGAUUGAUGCUGAGCAUUGAGAAGGAUCCCUAUGUAAGUUGACCACUCUGGACCUCAGGCAGGACUCGGAAUAUAGGAUUGUGACCAGUGUACCAGCUGUCACCAGAACUGGCCAGAUGAAGGCAGAAAGGAAGAGACAGUGCUACAUUGACUUCAGACUCUGCUCAGUUGCUUUCAGUCUCAGUUAAUUUGCUGGCCAACCUAACUCCCCCUCCCCCAG